UGAGAAUUUGCUUUGAGAAUCACAGCUGGAAUCCCUGCAAACCUGAGGGGAGACGUUCAGGGAGGUCCAGCCAGAGGACUGUUUUAGCAAUUUCAAGCGUCAGCUUGCUCAUACGUCAAAAAGACCUCCAGGAAAUUCCCCAUGACAACUCUAUGUGUGGCCUUCAUCAAGAAUGAAUCCCAUUUCUUCCACCUGAGCAGGCAACCUGCAGUGUCUAACCAACUAUUAUGAAGCAAAAACUGGAAUAAUUAUCCUAGGAAUCAAGACUCCUUAACAUCAAAUUAUGAUGGAUGGUGGAAAGAGGGGAGUAUGUGUAAAAUUCAUCAUUGUUAGCUGCUGUAAAUAACUAAGA